CGGAACGGGUGAGUAACGCGUGAGGAACCUGCCUCAAAGAGGGGGACAACAGUUGGAAACGACUGCUAAUACCGCAUAAGCCCACGGCUCGGCAUCGAGCAGAGGGAAAAGGAGCAAUCCGCUUUGAGAUGGCCUCGCGUCCGAUUAGCUAGUUGGUGAGGUAACGGCCCACCAAGGCGACGAUCGGUAGCCGGACUGGGAGGUUGAACGGCCACAUUGGGACUGAGGCACGGCCCAG
rnacentral:rRNA from 1 species